UACGUAGGGUGCAAGCGUUAAUCGGAAUUACUGGGCGUAAAGUGUGCGCAGGCGGUUAUGUAAGACAGAUGUGAAAUGCCCGGGCUUAACCUGGGAACUGCAUUUGUGACUGCAUGGCUAGAGUUUGGCAGAGGGGGGUAGAAUUCCACGUGUAGCAGUGAAAUGCGUAGAUAUGUGGAGGAACACCGAUGGCGAAGGCAGCCCCCUGGGUCAAGACUGACGCUCAUGCACGAAAGCGUGGGGAGCAAACAGG
rnacentral:rRNA from 1 species